rnacentral:rRNA from 1 species
GACGAACGCUGGCGGCGUGCUUAACACAUGCAAGUCGAACGGGCCUGUCUUCUUUUUUGGGGGUGGGUUGAGUGGCGAACGGGUGAGUAUCACGUGAGUAACCUGCCCUUCGGUCCUGGAUAACCGCUUGAAAGGGCGGCUAAUACGGGGUGGUCCGGUUGGUCUGCAUGGGCUGGUCGGGAUAGAUUCACUGUUUUUGGUGUUUCGGCGGGGGAUGGGCUCGCGGCCUAUCAGCUUGUUGGUGGGGUGAUGGCCUACCAAGGCGGUGACGGGUAGCCGGCCUGAGAGGGUGGGCGGCCACACUGGGACUGAGAUACGGCCCAGACUCCUGCGGGAGGCAGCAGUGGGGGGUAUUGCACAAUGGGCGGAAGCCUGAUGCAGCGACGUCGCGUGAGGGAUGGAGGCCUUCGGGUUGUGAACCUCUGUUUCCGGUGGUGAAGGCCCUGUCCGUGUGGUGGGGUUGACGGUAGCCGGGGAUGAAGCGCCGGCUAACUACGUG